ensembl:lncRNA
UUCAGUCAGCGACUGCUGGAAGGCUCUGGAACCUGGGGCAGGUGCUUGGCAGAGGGAAGUGGAGUAGGAUGGGGCCAGUUCUCUGCAGUGCCCUCCGCAGCCAAGCAGCCAUGCCUGGAGCGUGUCUGGGAUGAGUAUGCAACAAUCCCUGUGCUAUUCAAUACACAAUGAACAUCUGAGCUGUAAGAUGAAACUUAACAAGGGCAGAAGAUAAAAUGCUUGUUCAGAUUUCUAUGCUCCUGCUGCUACCUUGAAUUACUUGAUGGUAAUGGAAAGAUGUGCCAAGGUAUUAAGCUCUUCCUUUCUUUCUCCCUGGGCCUGGCUCCAUAAGAAGACAGACUUAUGGAAACUAAGCUGUUUUAUCUGAUAUAUGGUGGAUUAUCUUUCGUAGCUAGAUAAGAGGGAAUAAGUUGACAAGUAAUAAAUGACUGUUGAUGUAUGAAACAGAUGGAAAACAGAUUUUUGUUAAGCUGAUUCUGUAAAGUGGAGUGUAGCAAAGGAAUCUGAAUGUGAAAGUAUGUUUGCUGUUUCACUGUGACACAGAAGCACGUAUUAGAACACACCGACAUGUGAUUUAUUUGUGUAUUCAUAGAAGAGAUUUAUCCUGUGUGGAGAUGGUUAUUGGAAACCCCAGGAACAGAAAUCUUAAACAUACUACUUUUUGUAUUGCUGGAUUGAGAUAGAUGCUAUAAAUUCUUGUUUUCAAAGCAUGAAUCAACUCAAAGAUUUUCAAUUAGGAUCAGGGAAAGGACUUUAAAAUUAAUAUUCAGCUGCAACAGACAUGUCAUAUACUGUAAUUUUUGUUUGAUGUAGUUUAGGAAUCGUGUUUUAACAAGCAUUCUAUAAAAAUGAGAAUAUCUGUGAGAAAUAUUAAGGGUCAUACCUAAACUUUGAAAUAAGGACAUGUAAAAGUAUAUUGAUUUGAUUUAAUUUUACUGUGAACAGAUAUGUAGAAACUUGAUCAUAUAGGAAGAUUAAUCAGUAGACAAGUUUCAGUAUAGCCAUAUGAAUUAAGUAAUUCAAUUUCAGGUUGUGAUUUUUCCUUGGCUUCUCAAAUAUAGGUGCUGAAGACAUUAUUUAUUUAUUUAUUUAUUUAUUUAUUUAACUUAUGCUUUCCAUAGUACUUUAACCAAAAGAUUGUAAUUAAAUAGUAUGGGAAUUUAAAUUGUUUUUUUUUUCCUUUUUUUUUUUUACAUUAAAGAAGUCUAUUUAAAUAGAAAAUUGAUUUGAAAAUAAGGAAAUCCUUUUUUCCUCAAGUCACAGUGAUUUGCUGCUUUUCCACAAAAUUCUUUGUGCCAUGUAAUAACCAAAACAAAGUAUAUCUUAAUAUGUUAAAUUCUGUUAAGUGAUCAUGUGACAAGGACUUCUUCUUGUAAGUAAGUCAAUGACAGCUCUUUUCAGAAGUUCAUUAUAGGAGUUCAGUAAGAAUAGACAGUAAUUCUCAUCAUAUACCACCAUAAUUUAUAUGUACUAUGGGGGUCAUCAUACAGGAUGAUUUCAUGCAUUUUAAGGACAAAUUAAUACUUCUGUGAUUGGUGAAACACUUUGGUCUUUAACGGUGUUAAUUCUGAGUUUCCUAUACCGCUGUUGUCAUAUCUAUAAAGGAAGACAUCUCCUUAAAGAGCUUCCUAGAAUCAUGGUUCUCCAUCACCUAUUUUCAAGUCACCUGUAGAUUUACUUUUACACCUUUUAUCAAAAUAAAUGCUUCACAUUGGAUAG